UACGAAGGGUGCAAGCGUUACUCGGAAUUACUGGGCGUAAAGCGUGCGUAGGUGGUGAGUUAAGUCUGAUGUGAAAUCCCCGGGCUCAACCUGGGAAUGGCAUUGGAUACUGGCUCGCUAGAGUGCGGUAGAGGGUGGUGGAAUUCCCGGUGUAGCAGUGAAAUGCGUAGAGAUCGGGAGGAACAUCUGUGGCGAAGGCGGCCACCUGGACCAGCACUGACACUGAGGCACGAAAGCGUGGGGGGCAAACAGG
rnacentral:rRNA from 1 species